GAGUUUGAUCAUGGCUCAGAACGUACGCUGGCGGCACGCCUAACACAUGCAAGUCGAACGAAGUAGCAAUACUUAGUGGCAGACGGGUGAGUAACAUGUAGGUAUCUGCCCUUUGGCCUGGAAUAACACGAGGAAACUUGUGCUAAUACCGGAUAAGUCUUUACGGAGAAAGCUUUAUGCACCAUUGGAUGAGCCUGCACUUGAUUAGUUUGUUGGUAGGGUAAUGGCCUACCAAGACUGUGAUCAAUAGCUGAUUUGAGAGGAUGAUCAGCCACAUUGGGACUGAGACACGGCCCAAACUCCUACGGGAGGCAGCAGUGGGGAAUCUUGCACAAUGGAGGAAACUCUGAUGCAGCGAUGCCGCGUGAGUGAAGAAGGCCCUUGGGUUGUAAAGCUCUUUCGUCGGGGAAGAAAAUGACUGUACCCGAAUAAGAAGGUCCGGCUAACUUCGUGCCAGCAGCCGCGGUAAUACGAAGGGACCUAGCGUAGUUCGGAAUUACUGGGCUUAAAGAGUUCGUAGGUGGUUGAAAAAGUUGGUGGUGAAAUCCCAGAGCUUAACUCUGGAACUGCCAUCAAAACUUUUCAGCUAGAGUUUGAUAGAGGAAAGCAGAAUUUCUAGUGUAGAGGUGAAAUUCGUAGAUAUUAGAAAGAAUACCAAUUGCGAAGGCAGCUUUCUGGAUCAUUACUGACACUGAGGAACGAAAGCAUGGGUAGCGAAGAGGAUUAGAUACCCUCGUAGUCCAUGCCGUAAACGAUGUGUGUUAGACGUUGGAAAUUUAUUUUCAGUGUCGCAGCAAAAGCGAUAAACACACCGCCUGGGGAGUACGACCGCAAGGUUAAAACUCAAAUGAAUUGACGGGGACCCGCACAAGUAGUGGAGCAUGUGGUUUAAUUCGAAGAUACGCGCAGAACCUUACCAACACUUGACAUGUUCGUCGCGACUCUAAGAGAUUAGAGUUUUCGGUUCGGCCGGACGAAACACAGGUGCUGCAUGGCUGUCGUCAGCUCGUGUCGUGAGAUGUUGGGUUAAGUCCCGCAACGAGCGCAACCCUCACCUUUAGUUGCCAUCAUUUAGUUGGGCACUCUGAAAGAACUGCCAGUGAUAAGCUGGAGGAAGGUGGGGAUGACGUCAAGUCCUCAUGGCCCUUACGUGUUGGGCUACACACGUGCUACAAUGGUAUCUACAACAGGAAGCAAGACGGCGACGUCAAGCAAAUCCUUAAAAGAUACCCCAGUUCGGAUUGCACUCUGCAACUCGAGUGCAUGAAGCUGGAAUUACUAGUAAUCGUGGAUCAGCGUGCCACGGUGAAUGCGUUCCCGGGUCUUGUACACACCGCCCGUCACACCAUGGGAGUUGGUUCUACCUUAAGGCAAGGUUUUAAACCCUUGACCACGGUAUAGUCAGCGACUGGGGUGAAGUCGUAACAAGGUAACC
rnacentral:rRNA from 1 species